rnacentral:rRNA from 1 species
UAUGUGAUCGUCUCUCGCAUAUCAAUAAGUGGAGGAAAAGAAACUAACAAGGAUUCCCCUAGUAACGGCGAGUGAAGCGGGAAGAGCUCAAAUUUGAAAUCUUAAAGGGUUUCCCUUUACGAAUUGUAGUUUAAAGAAGUGUUUUCUGUUGAGGUUUUGGUAAAAGUUCUUUGGAAUAGGACAUCAUAGAGGGUGAGAAUCCCGUAUUUGACCUUUACUUUCAACUUUGUGAUACACUUUCAAAGAGUCGGAUUGUUUGGGAAUGCAGUCCAAAAUGGGUGGUAAAUUUCAUCUAAAGCUAAAUAUUGGCGAGAGACCGAUAGCGAACAAGUACCGUGAGGGAAAGAUGAAAAGAACUUUGAAAAGAGAGUUAAACAGUACGUGAAAUUGUCAAAAGGGAAGCGUUUGACACCAGUGUUGUUUUUCUGAAAAUCAAUUAAAGAACUGUUUAUGCUAAGCUGUUUAGACUUUAUCAGCUAAUCUGUUUAGUUUUGAGCUUUUCUUUAAUGCACUUUUCAGUUAACAAGUCAACAUCAAUUUCUUUUGCUGUAAAAAAGCUUGAGGAAGGUGGCUUGAGAAUUCGUCUUAAGUGUUUAUAGCCUCUUGCCUAUGCAGUCGGAGAGAUUGAGGUCUGCAGCGUAGAUCCUUCGGGGCUAAAUGCAUUUGUGCUAAGUUAUAGCAUUUUAUAGACAACUUGUUGACUAUGAUUUGUCUUGUAGCUUACUCGCUUAUGUUAUUUUACCUACGCUUAGGAUGUUGAGUAGCGACAUACGCAC